UACGUAGGGUCCGAGCGUUGUCCGGAAUUAUUGGGCGUAAAGAGCUCGUAGGCGGUCCGUUAAGUCGGAAGUGAAAUCUCAAGGUUCAACCUUGAAAUCGCUUUCGAUACUGGCGGACUUGAGGCAGGUAGGGGAAGGUGGAAUUCCUGGUGUAGCGGUGAAAUGCGCAGAUAUCAGGAGGAACACCGGUGGCGAAGGCGGGUCUCUGGGCAACAACUGACGCUGAGGAGCGAAAGCGUGGGGAGCGAACAGG
rnacentral:rRNA from 1 species